UAUCUCUGAUUACUGCAUUGUUAUUAUUAUAUGGCUCUUGAGUUAACCAGCUAAAUACUUGAAUUUAGGCAUUGGAGAUUUGUAAUAAAUUGUAGAUUCUUAGGUUAACAUGUUUUUAUAUUUAUAUACAGAGCAGAACCCAGACUUAGGUUCUAAUUUACGUUAGUUGUCAAACUGAUCUCUACAUGGCAUUAUCGUAUCCGUUCGGAAUGCUAAAAAUUGAAAUCCUUCUGUUUCCUCCUUUAGGUUUUGAAUCAUGGAAUCGACCUGGGCCUACUGGAGCUAAUAAAGAAGAUCGCGAGAGAAUUCUUCAAAGUUGCCGUUUCAAGAAAAAGAUAAAUAUGCAAUAAUUCCUGCCACAAUCCAGGGAUACAUGCUUUCAUUUUAUCAGACUGAUGUGACAUGAUGGCCUUUGAAACAAAGCCCAAAUCUAUUCGGAAGGAAAACCUUUGGCCCACAAAAAUGCUACUAUUCAGUGAUAAAUUGAAAGCUUAAUCAAUGGAGGUAUCUACACUCUGCUGGAAAUUAUUGAAUACCAUUGCUGAAAAUCUGGGCCUAAAUUCCAAUAUAUUUGAGAAGAUGUUUAGAGAAAAUGCGCAGGCCGUCAGGAUGAACUUCUAUCCUCCCUACCCUAGGCCUAAUCUGGUUCUAGGUUUAAGUGCACACUCUGAUGGAAGCGCUCUUACUGUGUUGCUGCAAGACGAUGAUUGUGUAGGUUUGCAGAUUCUUCAGAAGAACCAGUGGAUUUUUGUAGAGAAAAUCCCAGAUGCUCUAGUUAUCAAUAUAGGGAACUCUCUAGAUGUAUUUCCAGAAAAGCUUCCAUUAGACAAAUGAAUUCGAAUGUGAGUGAACCCA